UACGUAGGGUGCGAGCGUUGUCCGGAAUUACUGGGCGUAAAGAGCUCGUAGGUGGUUUGUCGCGUUGUUCGUGAAAACUCACAGCUUAACUGUGGGCGUGCGGGCGAUACGGGCAGACUGGAGUACUGCAGGGGAGACUGGAAUUCCUGGUGUAGCGGUGGAAUGCGCAGAUAUCAGGAGGAACACCGGUGGCGAAGGCGGCUACCUGGACAGAAACUGACGCUGAGGCGCGAAAGCUAGGGGAGCAAACAGG
rnacentral:rRNA from 1 species